rnacentral:lncRNA from 1 species
CUUCCCAGGAACAAACUCUCCUCCAGAUAAAAGCUAAAUGGUGAAAGAUGUCUGUUUUCAGGGCCACUAAGGGCUAGCUUGCCAGGGUGGCCAGUUCUGUCCUGCCUGGAUGCAAGUCGGAGGAUUCUUGAUCUCCUAGCCUGAGUGGACCACUCACUCCAGUGUCCAGUUCUGAACCUGCCAAUUCUAUAGCUGUGCUUUCUCUCCAGAAACUGAGUCUCAAAAACAUCAAGAACAUUCUCCAUAACUGCAGUUAAUCAUUACAGCCAGUAGGAUGAGUUCUGCCGAAUGCUCUCACAUCUAUGCUUGUGCUGGGCGUGGGAGCAAGUGUCCCUCCCUGCGGUGUGGCCUGCCUGAGAGGCUGCGGUUUCAAUUCACAGUAGGGCAGAUGUACUAGCUGGUUUAUUCCCCUGGGGAUCUUAGCUCCUUCAAUACCUCUUGUUGUCUUUUUUUUUUAGCCUUACAUAAAUAAGAAUUCACACACCUCUUGAAUUGAAAAUAAAUACAAACAAAAAAAGGAAAUAAAACAGAGAUCGCCCCUGUGGACAUUAUGCUGUAUCUCUUUGAAGGUGAGGAAGCCAUGAGGACAGAGCCCUUACAAAUGGGAUUCAUCACUUUCUAAAAGAUGUGUGAGGGAGCUAGCUGUUCACACCUUCCACCACGUGAGGAAGCAGCAAGACGUGCCAUCUAUGAAGCAGAGAGAGCCUUCACCAGACCCUGAAUCUGCCGACACCCUGAUCUUGGACUUCUCAAGCUCCAGAAGUGGUCUAAUUUUCAUACACAGUGGAUUUGCCAUGGAAACACCGAGUAUGUGCACAAGAGUCCUGUUGGAUCUGGAAAAGUGAGGAACUUUGAAAAUGCAUCACACUGCCUGCGUACUGAUGCUGCCCCAAAUUCUAUAUCCCCCUGGAAUCAGCAUGGCUGCAGGAACAUCUUCUCUCUGCCGGUCAAGGACACUCCUCAGCAGAGUGGCCCUUUCCGAAGCUGAAACAACUUCUGCCUCUACUUGCAUGGCUUCCCAAAGGCUGGAUCCUUGUGGGAAUGCAUUUCAAAAGGGAAGAAUCAACUGAUUUCGGGGCAUGCAAUCAAGACCCUAGGUAUCAGUAUGAAGGAGUUCUUCAUAUAAUCUGGAUAUGAGCCUCAGUUAGGUAUAUGUAUAGUAAAGAGUUUCUCCCAGUCUGUGGCUGCCCUUUUCCCUUUAUUCAUGAUGUCUUUUAAUACACAUAAAUUUUAAUUUUGAUAAAGCCCCAGUCACCUCUUUACAAAUUUUAUGCUUAUUGCUUUUUUGUGUCUUAAAAUAUCUUUGCCUACCUGAACAUCAUGAAGACAUUCUCCCAUGUUCUCUUCUCAAGAACUUUACUAUUAGUUUUCAGACUUAGGUUUAUGAUCCAUCUCAAGUUAAUAUUAGUGUUUGGUGUGAGGUAGGUGGUCAAGAUUUUUUUUCCAUAUGGAUAUCUGGUUGCUCCAGCAACAUUUAUUGAAAAUAACUUUCUUUUUCCUAUCUAACUGUUUGGCACCUUUGUCAAAAAUCAUUUGACUAUAGGUGUAGUCAUUUUUAUCCAACAAGUUUUUGGGUGGGUGGCCGCAGACAUUUGGUCUGGAGCUAUACUACCUGGACAAGAAUGUAUCAGGGUCAUGAACUUGUCCUCAUAGUGCAAAGAUUUCUGGUCACUUCCAUUUCCCAGUCACCUUUGUGAAUUACUACUUGGAAGUUUUAUGAUACCACCAAGCCUUGGUUUUGCUGUCAAAUACCCAAGGUGCUUGACCCCUCCCUGCCACAGUUUCCUUAUCGGUAAAAUGGUAUAAUGGCAAUAACUGAUGCAUGGGGCUGUUGCAAGAUCAAUGGGGUCACGAAUGCAAUGAGAACACUCGCUAUUGCCUGUUUCCUCCUUACCACUGUGAGCUCCUUGAGAGCAGAGACCAUGUUUUAUGAAUCUGCAUUUCAGUGCUUGAAAGGAUACCUGGCAUAUGGCAGGUGUUUCUUAAAUGUAUGGAGAAUAAACUAUAUUCUUUUAGAUGGUGUAGAUAGAACCAUUUGUAUGGCAGUCUGUUGUUAUUUUAUUCCUACCCAAUCCAGGGGACUUGUCUGUCUUUAUCUUAUUUGACACACUUGACUGCUCCUUCCUGAAGCCCUUUAUUCUCUUUGCUUCUAGAAUACCACACAUUUUUUGCUCUCCUCCUGCUGUACUGAAUGUUCUUUCUUAGUCUUCUUGGUCAUGCCUGUUGCCUCUGCUCUAAGGACUUUUCUGCCCAGGGAUCGUCUUCCACCCCUUUUCUUCUCUAUGCCACACUGUCUCUCUUGGUGAUCCCUUCUUCUCUCAUGGCUUUAAGUUCUAUUUGCUCACAACUCCUGAAUGCCUGUAUCCAUCCUGAGCCCACAGUCAUGUACGCCAUGACCUACCCCACUUAGGCUUAACAGGCAUUUCACUUCAAAGUAGUCCAAAACAAAGCAGGAGAUUUUUCCCACAUGUGAUUUUAUUUCACUCUGUCUUGAGUUCUCAAGUUUUUCAAGACAAAAUCUUCCGAGUCAGUCAUGGCUCUUCUCUUUAUCCUCA